rnacentral:rRNA from 1 species
AUGCCUCGUUUCCGCCACUGCUUAUCCAUGUCCCCCCUCGUGAUCCUCCUCUUCCAUCUUGCAACAUGGCCUGUGCACGGUGAGGUCGCCAAUGGCGGCCACCGCGACCUCCCUUUCCUCCUCUCGUUCAAGGCCUACAACCCCAACAAUGUCACGGUCCUGAAGACCUGGGUCGGCCCCGACCCAUGCUCCGGCGCGUGGCUCGGGGUCCGGUGCUCCAGGGGGAGGGUGGCGGGCGUCUUCUUGGACGACGCAUCGCUGGUGGGCAGCGUGGCUCCCCUCCUCGGGCUCACCCAGAUCAGGGUGCUCGCCGUCAGGAGGAACUCCCUGUCCGGCCCUCUCCCUCCAUUGGACAACUCCACGAGCCCAAGGUUGAGGCACCUGCUCGUCUCCCACAACAACCUCAGCGGAGGCCUCAACCUUUCGCUGCCUUCCCUGGUCACUCUGCGAGCAGAGCACAACGGAUUCCAUGGCGGCUUGCAGGCUCUGCGCCUGCCGAUGGUCAGAAGGUUCAACGUGUCGAGUAACGAGCUCGUCGGAGAGAUCCCCAGCUCCCUGUCGGGAUUCCCGAGCUCGUCUUUCGGCAGCAAUGUCGAUCUCUGUAGCAAGCCUCUUCCGAGGUGUAUACAUGCUUACAAUGCAGUGGAAGAUAGCGCCUCAAAUGCUACCACUGGUGUCGCUCAGUCUCCUACUGCAGCAACAAAUACAUCGAGUGGCAGUCCGAGCUCUUCCAGUAAUGGAAGAUUCAGUCAGCUUGGCAUGACCGCACUCGUGGCCACUGGCAUUGGCAAUGCAGUGCUGAUAGCGAUCUCGCUGGCCAUCUCUGUGGCCAUGUUCAUCUACAUGAGAAGAAAGCUGAGGCCCUCUAACGACGAUUCCAAAUCCAGUGCGUCUCUUUGCUUCGAGGAGGAAGACAAGAUCAGGAGUGGUGAAGAGAAGUGCCAGAAGAGCGGCGCCCUGGUCUGCUUCGACGGCGGCGAGGAGCUGAGGCUGGAGAGCCUGCUCAAGGCCUCGGCGGAGGUGCUCGGCAAGGGCGUGUCCGGGAGCACGUACAAGGCCGUCCUCGAGGACGGCAUCGUGGCGGCCGUGAAGCGGCUCAGCGCCCUGCAGUUCCCCGGCCGGAGCAAGGCCUUCGACCGCCACAUGCGGCUCGUCGGCAGGCUCCGGCACCGCCACGUCGUCAGCCUCAGGGGCUACUGCAACUCCAACGGCGAGCGGCUGCUCGUCUACGACUACCUCCCCAACGGGAGCCUCCAGUCCCUUCUGCAAGGCAACGGUGGAGGCGGCAGAACGAGGAGCCUGGACUGGGCGACGAAGAAGGGCAUCCUGUUCGGUGCGGCGCAGGGCCUCAACUACAUCCACACGUUCCCGGCGCGGCCGGCGCUGGUGCACGGGAACGUGAAGCCGUCCAACAUCCUCCUCGACGAGCGCGGCGCCGCGUGCGUCUCCGAGUGCGGGCUCAUGCGCUACGCCGCCAGCGUCCCGCAGUCCGGCCCGCAGCCGCCCGAGCUGUUCCUGGACCGGGCGUCGGAGGCGGUGUCGGGCCGCGGCGGAUGGCGCGGGUACGCGGCGCCGGAGCUGACGGCGCCGGGCGCGAGGGCGACGCAGGAGUCGGACGUGUACAGCUUCGGGAUGGUGCUCCUGGCGGUGGUGACCGCCAAGGGCGCCGCGGACGGCGGCGAGGACGAGGGAGAAGGGGAGGAGACGAUGGGGAUGGUGAAGAUCGGCGUGCUGUGCACCGCCGAGGCGCCGGAGGAGAGGCCCAGGAUGGCGCAGGUGCUCACCAUGAUGAGCGAGUUCAUGUAG